UCCCCAAAUCUAUGCUAAGUGGAAAAGGAUGUGGAGUUGCGUAGACAACUAGGACGUUGGCUCAGAAGCAGCCAUCAUUCAAAGAGUGCGUAAUAGCUCACUAGUCGAGUGGCGCUGCGCCGAAAAUUUACCGGGGCUAAGCAUAGUACCGAAACUGUGGAUGUGUUUUAAAGAGCACGUGGUAGGAGAGCGUUCUAAGUGCGGCGAAGUCAGAUCGAGAGGACUGAUGGAGCGCUUAGAAGUGAGAAUGCCGGUAUGAGUAGCGAAAGAUAGGUGAGAAUCCUAUCCGCCGAAAGACUAAGGUUUCCUGGGGCAGGCUCGUCCGCCCAGGGUAAGUCGGGACCUAAGACGAGGCCGAGAGGCGUAGUCGAUGGACAACAGGUAGAUAUUCCUGUACUGCGUUUAAUCGUUAUGAGCGAAGGAGGGACGCAGGAGGCUAAGCACGCAUGGCGCCGGAAGCCAUGUUUAAGCGUCAAGCCAGAGAGUGAGUCAAAUGCUUGCUCUUGAUGAAGGCAAGGCGCGACGAGGAGCGAACUAAAGUAGCGAAGGUGCUGAUGUCACACUGCCAAGAAAAGCUUCUAGCCAGAGAGAACGUACCCGUACCGCAAACCGACACAGGUAGUCGAGUGGAGAACACUAAGGUGAGCGAGAGAACUCUCGUUAAGGAACUCGGCAAAAUGACCCCGUAACUUCGGGAGAAGGGGUGCUGAUAGUAAAAUAUCAGCCGCAGUGAAUAGGCCCAAACAACUGUUUAUCAAAAACACAGGUAUCUGCAAAAUCGUAAGAUGACGUAUAGGUGCUGACACCUGCCCGGUGCUGGAAGGUUAAGAGGAGAGCUUAGCGCAAGCGAAGGUUUGAAUUGAAGCCCCAGUAAACGGCGGCCGUAACUAUAACGGUCCUAAGGUAGCGAAAUUCCUUGUCGGGUAAGUUCCGACCUGCACGAAAGGUGUAAUGAUUUGGGCACUGUCUCAACGAGAGACUCGGUGAAAUUAUAAUACCCGUGAAGAUGCGGGUUACCCGCGACAGGACGGAAAGACCCCAUGGAGCUUUACUGUAGCUUGAUAUUGAGUAUUUGUUAAACAUGUACAGGAUAGGUAGGAGCCAGAGAAAGUAGGACGCUAGUCUUACCGGAGGCAAUGUUGGGAUACUACCCUUGUUUGAUGGAUCCUCUAACUCACAGAGCUGAGCGUUCUGGAGGACAGUGUCAGGUGGGCAGUUUGACUGGGGCGGUCGCCUCCUAAAGUGUAACGGAGGCGCCCAAAGGUUCCCUCAGAAUGGUUGGAAAUCAUUCGCAGAGUGUAAAGGCAUAAGGGAGCUUGACUGCGAGACCUACAAGUCGAGCAGGGACGAAAGUCGGGCUUAGUGAUCCGGUGGUUCCGCAUGGAAGGGCCAUCGCUCAACGGAUAAAAGCUACCCUGGGGAUAACAGGCUUAUCUCCCCCAAGAGUUCACAUCGACGGGGAGGUUUGGCACCUCGAUGUCGGCUCAUCGCAUCCUGGGGCUGUAGUCGGUCCCAAGGGUUGGGCUGUUCGCCCAUUAAAGCGGCACGCGAGCUGGGUUCAGAACGUCGUGAGACAGUUCGGUCCCUAUCCGUCGUGGGCGUAGGAAAUUUGAGAGGAGCUGUCCUUAGUACGAGAGGACCGGGAUGGACAUACCGCUGGUGUACCAGUUGUCUUGCCAAAGGCAUCGCUGGGUAGCUAUGUAUGGAAGGGAUAAGCGCUGAAAGCAUCUAAGUGCGAAGCCCCCCUCAAGAUGAGAUUUC
rnacentral:rRNA from 1 species